rnacentral:rRNA from 1 species
UUGAACGCUGGCGGCAUGCUUUACACAUGCAAGUCGAACGGCAGCGGGGGCUUCGGCCCGCCGGCGAGUGGCGAACGGGUGAGUAAUGCAUCGGAACGUACCCAGUCGUGGGGGAUAACUACGCGAAAGCGUGGCUAAUACCGCAUACGCCCUGAGGGGGGAAGCGGGGGACCUUCGGGCCUCGCGCGAUUGGAGCGGCUGAUGUCGGAUUAGCUAGUUGGUGGGGUAAAGGCCUACCAAGGCGACGAUCCGUAGCUGGUCUGAGAGGAUGACCAGCCACACUGGGACUGAGACACGGCCCAGACUCCUACGGGAGGCAGCAGUGGGGAAUUUUGGACAAUGGGGGAAACCCUGAUCCAGCCAUUCCGCGUGAGUGAAGAAGGCCUUCGGGUUGUAAAGCUCUUUCAGCAGGAACGAAACGGUCGGCUUUAAUAAAGUCGGCUAAUGACGGUACCUGCAGAAGAAGCACCGGCUAACUACGU